ensembl:lncRNA novel transcript
CCAGCCACAUCCAGAAGGAGGAAGUGAGACGUACCUGGUGAUUGUUGCUGGCAGCCGACGAACUGGCCUGAGCUGUGCUGGCUGAGAGAGAAUCAAGGAAGGCUUGGUCAGCCACUGAAUUUCCACAAGAAAAUUGAUCUUUUCCAUCACUGGGUAAAAUCUGAAUAGGAGAAAGAGCCGCAAUUAUUUUCAUAGAUUACGGUCACUUCAGGGAGUCUUCGAGGGCAAGCAAGAAUUGUCAAAAAGGGUUUAUAUUCUUCAAUGCUACAAAUUUCUCUUGUGAUUCCAUUGUGGUCUCAGGGCAGACACUGUAUGAUUUCUUUCAAACAUGUUGAGAGAACACCGUUCAAAAUCUUAAAUUCUUAAGCCUUCUCUUUACUUCAGAAAAUGAUGUAACCUAAAAACAAGAAAAAUCAAACUUCAAUAAUAAGUGAUCAAAGAUUGAAAACAGCUGAUGAUUAGAUGACCCUCAUCUUGUCUGUGUACUGGUCUGCGGCAGAUAAUAAAAGUGGCUUGCAGCUCUGAAUGUGAAGCGGUGGGAUGCGCAUCCCAGGCCUGGAAUCUGCCCUCUGCCACCUCGCUGGUCAACAGAAUCAAGUGGAAAUCCUCCAGGGAAUCCAGAACCUUGCCUCAAGGGCUUCUGCACACUUCAGCUGACUCUUCUGGCACCCAAGUCGCUAUACGAAUUAAUGUGGGUUGCUAGAUGAUGACAGAGACCCAGUCUCCCUGUUGCCCCAUUCAAA